AAAUAUCAACCAGUCAACAUCGAAUGCCAUUUGAUCUCAUCCCCUUUGGCUUGGGAAACCUGUGACUACCCACACUCAGGGGCCAUCGGCAUGGAAAGUAUUAGUUUCUGUGCAGCCCAGGAGCUCUAUAGGAAGCGGUGGAAUCCCAAAGAGAUGUUAAAUGCGUAUGCAAGAAUGUGCCAAGACCUAUUCUCCACACUCCUGUUCCAGUAAAUAAAACAAUAAGGACUUAUGGUCUGUUUCUUUCUGCACAUGAGAUCAUUCUCUUUAUCUGAAGACCAGUCUUCUAUGAUUUGAAGUACAGGUAGCCAGCCUAUCCCUGCCUUUAUGUGGUCAUUCUGGUCUACAUCAAGUACUAUGUUGAGCCUCUACACUCCCAGCUUCCAAGACCUGGGACACACUAUUUCAUUUUAUCCUAGGUCUCCACCCACCACAGGUAAUAUUAGAGAUGACAAGGACUGCAUGACUCGCAGCUCAUGCGUAUGCACUGUAGGUACAAGUUCUCCAGAAUGGUGUGGACAAGAUUGUGGGAGAAAAAUGCAUCA